rnacentral:rRNA from 1 species
AACGAACGCUGGCGGCAUGCCUAACACAUGCAAGUCGAACGAGACCUUCGGGUCUAGUUGCGCACGGGUGCGUAACGCGUGGGAACCUGCCCUUAGGUUCGGAAUAACUCCCCGAAAGGGGUGCUAAUACCGGAUAAUGUCUUCGGACCAAAGAUUUAUCGCCUUUGGAUGGGCCCGCGUUGGAUUAGCUAGUUGGUAGGGUAAAAGCCUACCAAGGCGACGAUCCAUAGCUGGUCUGAGAGGAUGAUCAGCCACACUGGGACUGGGACACGGCCCAGACUCCUACGGGAGGCAGCAGUGGGGAAUAUUGGACAAUGGGCGAAAGCCUGAUCCAGCAAUGCCGCGUGAGUGAUGAAGGCCUUAGGGUUGUAAAGCUCUUUUACCCGGGAUGAUAAUGACAGUACCGGGAGAAUAAGCUCCGGCUAACUCCGUG